rnacentral:lncRNA from 1 species
CAGAAGGUUGAGGCUGCAGUGAGCCAUGAUUGUACCACUGCACUCCAGACUGGGUGACAGAGUAAGACCCCGUCUUAUUCAUUCAUUCAUAAAUUAAUCGAUUUUUAAAAAUAAGUAAAAAAAAAUAUUUGGGUAGAUUUAAUCUGUCUCAGAUAGUAACUUGAAUGCAUUUUUUUUUCAGAUUCAGACAUUCACACAGCUUGAAGAAGAUCUAAAAGAUGAAGAUGAGUCAUUGAGGUAAGCAGUACAAGAUCUGUACACAAGAGGAAAAGAUAGUCACGAUUAAAGCACGUCACUUUAGAUAUAGAGUUGUCUAAUGUUAAAUGCUGUUAUCUUGAAGUACUUGUGAAAGGACCAGCUAUUCCAAAAAUUUCUUAAAAAGAAAAUUCUUCUGAGGGACAGGUCAUAGGUGAAUGGACUAUAACAGAUCUGAAUGAAUUUAUAACAAGCGUUUCUUUGCAAAUUUAUAGAAGCACCAACAAAGUAAACAGAACGAAAGUUUCAGUCCCGGAUGCAAAUGGACCC